UAGACACUACAUACAGGUAACUCUACAUACAGGUAACUCUACAUACAGGUAAACACUGCACACAGAUAAACUCUACAUACAGGUAAACUCUACAUACAGAUAGACACUACAUACAGGUAACCCUACAUACAGGUAAACUCUACAUACAGGUAUCUACAUACAAGUAGACACUACAAACAGGUAAACACUACACACAGGUAAACCCUACAUACAGGUAAACCCUACACACAGGUAAACCCUACAUACACGUAAACUACAUGCAGGUAAACACUACACACAAGUAAACUCUACAUACAGGUAAACUCUACAUACAGGUAAACUCUACAUACAGGUAAACACUACAUACAGGUAAACACUACAUACAGGUAAACUCUACAUACAGGUAAACUCUACAUACAGGUAAACACUACAUACAGGUAAACUCUACAUACAGGUAAACUCUACACACAGGUAAACUACAUGCAGGUAAACACUACACACAGGUAAACUCUACACACAGGUAAACUACAUGCAGGUAAACACUACACACAGGUAAACUCUACAUACAGGUAAACUCUACAUACAGGUAAACUCUACACAUAGGUAAACUACAUACAGGUAAACACUACAUACAGGUAAACUCUACAUACAGGUAAACACUACAUACAGGUAAACUACAUACAGGUAAACACUACAUACACAUACAGGUAAACUACAUACAGGUAAACUCUACAUACAGGUAAACAUUACACACAGGUAAACUCUACAUACAGGUAAACUACAUACAGGUAAACACUACACACAGGUAAACUCUACAUACAGGUAAACUACAUACAGGUAAACAUUACACACAGGUAAACUCUACAUGCAGGUAAACACUACACACAGGUAAACUCUACAUACAGGUAAACACUACAUACACAUACAGGUAAACUACACACAGGUAAACUCUACAUACAGGUAAACACUACACACAGGUAACUACAUACAGGUAGACACUACAUACAGGUAAACCCUACAUACAGGUAAACUCUACAUACAGGUAAACCCUACAUACAGGUAAACUCUACAUACAGGUAAACCCUACAUACAGGUAAACUCUACAUACA